AUGAACGCUGGCGGCGUGCUUAACACAUGCAAGUCGAACGAUGAAGCCCAGCUUGCUGGGUGGAUUAGUGGCGAACGGGUGAGUAACACGUGAGUAACCUGCCCUUAACUCUGGGAUAAGCCUGGGAAACUGGGUCUAAUACCGGAUAGGAGCGUCCACCGCAUGGUGGGUGUUGGAAAGAUUUAUCGGUUUUGGAUGGACUCGCGGCCUAUCAGCUUGUUGGUGAGGUAAUGGCUCACCAAGGCGACGACGGGUAGCCGGCCUGAGAGGGUGACCGGCCACACUGGGACUGAGACACGGCCCAGACUCCUACGGGAGGCAGCAGUGGGGAAUAUUGCACAAUGGGCGCAAGCCUGAUGCAGCGACGCCGCGUGAGGGAUGACGGCCUUCGGGUUGUAAACCGCUUUCAGUAGGGAAGAAGCGAAAGUGACGGUACCUGCAGAAGAAGCACCGGCUAACUACGUG
rnacentral:rRNA from 1 species